ensembl:antisense Gm43120 predicted gene 43120
AACAUCAGAGAAGGCCCGCGGCCCGGGAUUUAGGAAAUCAUUCAUCUAGUUGGAAGUACACAAAGUUUCCAGGCCCCCACUAGAGCCAUCAUCUGAGGAACUCUGGGAACCUCAUCUACAAACUCAGGAGAUGCAAAGUGGCUGGAUGGAAAUUCGGAAGCAUUGUUCGACGGCUAAGACUAAUGUCUCUGGCUAAUCGAGUUAUUAUUAGCCUCGGGAGCGUGGAAACUGAACUGUCACUGCUGAAAGAGAAAAUGUAAGCGACAGCUGUCCCUCUUCGGGCUUUGGCUAGCUUUCAGGCCAGGAUCCUCAAGCUCCCGAGCCUACUGCUGCUCCCAUUCCUGUGUGGGCGGCUGCCUGACUCUUCCCCCCCACCCCCAAGCCGUGUAGGACAAGGAGUCUAGUCCUGGAUCCUAGCUGGUCCGCAGGGACACCUUCUGCAGGGCCUUAGAAAUCUGGGCUGAAAAUACUAGUUGUUGAAAAUAUUCUGAAGCCGCUAAACCGAGUUAUGAGUGUAGUGUUUGUGAGCGUGCUUACAGGAUUUUGACAACAGCUGUUCCCCCGGGCUGUUUUGCACUGUUGAAAUCUUGGCACUAAAUACAAAAUGUGAAGCUGUUUUCUCCCUCUUAGGGUUCUGUUAAAAUACACACAUUGACAUCCGCCUUGA